GUGCCAGCCGCCGCGGUAAUACCGGCAGCCCGAGUGAUGGCCGAUCUUAUUGGGCCUAAAGCGUCCGUAGCUGGCUGCGCAAGUCCGUCGGGAAAUCCACUCGCCCAACGAGUGGGCGUCCGACGGAAACUGCACAGCUUGGGACCGGAAGGCUCGAAGGGUACGUCCGGGGUAGGAGUGAAAUCCUGUAAUCCCGGACGGACCGCCGGUGGCGAAAGCGCCUCGGGAGGACGGAUCCGACGGUGAGGGACGAAAGCCAGGGUCUCGAACCGGAUUAGAUACCCGGGUAGUCC
rnacentral:rRNA from 1 species